rnacentral:rRNA from 1 species
UACGUAGGGUGCGAGCGUUGUCCGGAAUUAUUGGGCGUAAAGAGCUCGUAGGCGGCUUGUCGCGUCGGCUGUGAAAACCUGGGGCUCAACCCCGGGCCUGCAGCCGAUACGGGCAAGCUAGAAUUCGGUAGGGGAGACUGGAAUUCCUGGUGUAGCGGUGAAAUGCGCAGAUAUCAGGAAGAACACCCGUGGCGAAGGCGGCUCUCUGGAACGCAACUGACGCUGAGGCGCGAAAAGCGUGGGGAGCAAACAGG